ensembl:snRNA U6 U6 spliceosomal RNA
GUGCUCACUUCAGCAGCACAUAUACUGAAAAUUGGAACAAUACAGAGAAGAUUAGCAUGGCUCCUGCACAAGGAUAGCACGCAAAUUCAUGAAGCGUUCCAUAUUUUU